GCAAAAGAGACACAUGCUCUGCAAGAGUUUCCAGGAAAGACUAUUAAGGGAAACAUCUGUUAACCUGACUGCCAGAAUGGCCACUCUCUUGGACUGUUUUCCAUAGUCAGGAAAAUCUAUAUUCAUUUAGUUUAUUGAAAAAUAAAACCUAAGUUCAGGUUCUAUGCUUAGGACCCUUGUUGAAAACUUAAAACUUGACUUAGUUAAUUGCAUGUUUUUAUUGUAGUUUGCUAAAUAUUGUAAUGUUUGAAAACAUCCAUUUAUAGUAUUAUGGAUGUUUUUAAACUAUUAAAACAUUUAUACUAUUUGCUGUUAAGUGCCCUGGACAGCAGUUACUUCCCAGAGGCUGACAUUCUGGGACUGGCUUCUGCUUUAUCUGUGCAGCAUAACUGACUUAUACCAUUCAUACAACGCAAAACAGACCAUACCUCUCUACCAACCCCUCACAGACACAGAACAUCCAUAUCCUCGCCACUGAACCAAGUGGCUUGUUUGUGGUUGUUGGUGCUGCUGUUAUUACUACUGUUGCUGCUAUUUAAUUGCUGGAUGAACUCAACUGAAUGUCCUUCCUAAAAUCCUGCCAUUUCAUUUGUGAGAAAACAGAGUGGCGCUGUGUAGAAACACGCCUCACAAUCAUCUUCUGGCCUUUCUUUACUUCCUAGAGGACAUGACUUGCCGCUGCAAGAUUAGUGAACUGUCUUUCUCUUCUGACUACUCUGUUAAUUUUGAUCUAAGCUGGAACAGAUAACAUGAGGAAAUGGAAAUUUUUCUUGGCCAAUAAUAUUCUUUCUAAUCUUCCAAUGUGAAGACAGUUUCACAAAUGCAUCAGUUAGCUCUGUUGUAGUUCCACUAACAAAGUGAAGGGUAGGAGCACUUCAGGCUUUUGAAGACUAAAAGGAUGUAGCUGAGAACUAUCAGGAUGCAGGAUCAUAAUAGUAAUUGUCAACUUGUUAUUUCACAGAUCUUUCAAAGCCUUGGGAAGGCAUGCAUUUUAGUGCACAUAUUUUGGUAUUUCCACCAAGAAUUCAGAGUUCACACUGACUCUUGUUAUCUUCGGCAGUUGAUCUCGAUGACUCUUAAUUAACUCUUCUGUUAAAAGAGAAAAAGGAUUGCACAGAACCACUGUCCACCUUCACUCUACAUAUAUGUACGACAUACACACUGACAUACAUCUAGAGCCU
rnacentral:lncRNA from 1 species